UGGCGUAGUGUUUGAUUUUUAUGGGGGUACCCUGUGUCGGGUGUCUCACUGUUUCCCCUUUGAUGAUUGAGGAACAACAAACACAUCCCAUGCAUGCGAAUGUAACUUUCUUGGGUUCCCCUAAAAAUCUUUGGGCACCUGGAUGUUUCAGGGGGUAUACUUCGGCUGGACAUAGUGUAUCUCUUAUAGUUUUACCUUUGGUAUAGCUAAACAAUGGGGAUGUGGGAAUUUCUUGUUUCAAUAUUUUGUCUUGCAUGAGUAGGGGCCAGUAUUUGGAUACAAUGAGUUCAGCUUGUAGGCAGAGAGCUUAAAGGUCAUAUUCUCUUCUUCGGCUUGGCCUGCUGCCCCUGCGACCGAGUCUUUACAGAAGGGUGGCAACAAAAUGCAUAAAGUUCUAUUGCAACAAUGUUAUUAGUGCAACAAUGUUUAGUUGCAGAAUUGUUAAUUUUACAAUAUAACUGAUGUGUCUCUCUGUUUCCGUUUUCAGAUAACUAGCUUACCCUUAUUUGGAACACUAUAUGACUUCCCAAAGAAUGCUAGAAUACUACGUAAUGGCCAAACUGCAAAUUGCAAACUUCUAUGGAGAACUGCAUCCCCAAUUCUGCAUGUAGGAAAGCAAGGAUGGCACCGCUGAAUAGCUGCAGGAUAAAGUUUACACAUGAAAUGGCCAAUGAAACCCACACUUGGAUUCCCAGCUACUAUCCUGGUUCACACCUCACAUGAAGAAAGGAACAGAGAAACGACCAAAACAAACCAACCCUGGAAACCUGGGCCCCCACUGCACUCGUGUUUUUCUCUUUCUCAUACUAACACUGCAGUUUAAAGGGUAAUGGAUCCUAGACAAGUCCUUCAUGCUAAAUCUCCUCUUUUGUCGGUGACUAGUUUCCUCUGAAUUCUUCCCCACCAGCAAUAUUGUGAAUUGCAGUAAGGAAAACACUUGCGUUGCUUCCGCUUUCUGAAGUUGCCUGAAAUUGCCUCUCAAGGAUGAUACAAUAAAGAUAAACAAUCUAGCAGAAAUAAAAAGAAAACAAU